rnacentral:rRNA from 1 species
AGUCAACCUACCCUAUGGACGGGAAUAAUCUCGGGAAACUGAGGAUAAUUCCAGAUAGAACACUAUGCCUGGAACGGUUUGUGUUCCAAAUGAUUUAUCGCCGUAGGAUGGGACUGCGUCCUAUCAGUUUGUUGGUGAGGUAAUGGCCCACCAAGACUAUUACAGGUACGGGCUCUGAGAGGAGUAGCCCGGAGAUGGGUACUGAGACACGGACCCAGGCCCUAUGGGGCGCAGCAGGCGAGAAAACUUUGCAAUGUGCGAAAGCACGACAAGGUUAAUCCGAGUGGUUCCUGCUAAAGGAACCUUUUGACGGUCCUAAAAACACCGUUGAAUAAGGGGUGGGCAAGUUCUGGUGUCAGCCGCCGCGGUAAAACCAGCACCUCAAGUGGUCAGGAUGAUUAUUGGGCCUAAAGCAUCCGUAGCCGGCUCUGUGAGUUUUCGGUUAAAUCUGUGCGCUCAACGUACAGGCUGCCGGGAAUACUGCAGAGCUAGGGAGUGGGAGAGGUAGACGGUACUUGGUAGGAAGGGGUAAAAUCCUUUGAUCUAUUGAUGACCACCUGUGGCGAAAGCGGUCUACCAGAACACGUCCGACGGUGAGGGAUGAAAGCUGGGGGAGCAAACCGGAUUAGAUACCCGGGUAGUCCCAGCUGUAAACCAUGCAAACUCAAUGAUGCAUUGGCUUGAAGCCAAUGCAGUGUU